UCUCUCUCUCUAAGAACCUUAGGGUUUCUUGUUUUUUUUCUCUCUCUAAGAACAUUUUAGGGUUUCUUAAUUUGUUUUGUGGCUUGAUCACUGUUCGAGCUACACUCGACAGCUCACAAGUUUUGAAGUCUGCAAAAUGUGAGAUUCACAUACAGUUACAGAUUAAGAGAGAGAUUGGCACAUUGAAGCUCCUCAAACAUCCAAACGUCAUCAGAUCUUCAGACUCUAUCAUUCAAACCGUUGGUCGCCCCCUUGAAACGCCACCGUGGAAGA